CACGUGUCUUCGGUUUUGUUUUCCAUUGGUCGACUACAUCGCAGAUGCACCUCUUGGUGGAGGUGGCGUGUGUGUGUUUGCGAGUGAGUGAGUUGACGGAAUCGACAAUGAUGAGAUGACCACAAACACUGCCGGUGAUGUCUGAUGCCAUGAUUGCUGUCAACCUUGGUCAGACAAACUACCGGUCAACAGCUGGCCAUGCUUUUGGUGUUAUUUACUGUACUGUUUGAUGUGUAACUUGUUGGAUGGAUAGUCUUGCUGGUUCAAGACUCGCCAAUGUAGAUGUUAGAGAAGCUACUAUGAAAACAGUUGUUUCUUUAGCAAUAAACAUUAAGAAACAAAA